rnacentral:rRNA from 1 species
AUGCAUGCAGUCGAGCGUGAUCGUGGCUUCGGCCACAAUGAUAAAGCGGCAGACGGCCGAGUAACGCGUGAGUAAUCUGCCCUCCGGUGGGGUAUAACCUCGGGAAACUGAGGAUAAUCCCGCAUACGACCUGCAUCCCUUGGGGUGCAGAUGAAAGGCUUCGGUCGCCGGAGGAGGAGCUCGCGUCCUAUCAGGUUGUUGGUGGGGUAAUGGCCCACCAAGCCUAUGACGGGUAGCUGGUCUGAGAGGAUGACCAGCCAGAGGGGGACUGAGAACGGCCCCCACUCCUACGGGAGGCAGCAGCAGGGAAUCUUGGGCAAUGGGCGAAAGCCUGACCCAGCGACGUCGCGUGGGGGACGAAGGCCUUAGGGUUGUAAACCCCUUUUCCGAGGGAAGAUACAGGACGGUACCUCGGGAAUAAGCCCCGGCUAACUACGUGCCAGCAGCCGCGGUAAUACGUAGGGGGCAAGCGUUACCCGGAAUCACUGGGCGUAAAGUGCGCGUAGGCGGUUGGAUAAGUCUCUUGUGAAAGCUCCCGGCUCAACUGGGAGAGGUCAAGGGAUACUAUUCGACUUGAGGACAGCAGAGGUAAGCAGAAUUCCCGGUGUAGCGGUGGAAUGCGUAGAUAUCGGGAGGAACACCAGUGGCGAAAGCGGCUUACUGGGCUGUAGCUGACGCUGAGGCGCGAGAGCGUGGGGAGCAAACUGGAUUAGAUACCCAGGUAGUCCACGCCCUAAACGAUGGAUACUAGGUAUGGGGGGUAUUGACCCCCUCCGUGCCGUAGCUAACGCGUUAAGUAUCCCGCCUGGGGACUACGGCCGCAAGGCUAAAACUCAAAGGAAUUGACGGGGGCCCGCACAAGCGGUGGAGCGUGUGGUUUAAUUCGAUGCUAAGCGA